rnacentral:tRNA from 1 species
CAGUUAUCUGCCUAGAGCUUGAUAGUAAGCAUUCCAUUUACACUGGAUUUUUAAUUGUGCAAUUCAAUUUGGGCUG